GGAAGCAUAGCUCAGUUGGUUAGAGCACUUGCCUUACAAGCAAGGGGUCACUGGUUCGAGUCCAGUUGUUUCCACCA
rnacentral:tRNA from 1 species